UACGAAGGGGGCUAGCGUUGCUCGGAAUUACUGGGCGUAAAGGGCGCGUAGGCGGACAGUUAAGUCAGAGGUGAAAGCCCAGGGCUCAACCCUGGAAUUGCCUUUGAUACUGGCUGUCUUGAGUGCGGGAGAGGUGUGUGGAACUCCGAGUGUAGAGGUGAAAUUCGUAGAUAUUCGGAAGAACACCAGUGGCGAAGGCGGCCAUCUGGACAGAUACUGACGCUGAGACGCGAAAGCGUGGGGAGCAAACAGG
rnacentral:rRNA from 1 species